GUCAGAGACUAAUGGCGGCGGCGGCGGCGGCGCUGGAAGCCUGGCAGGCGGCGUCUCGUCGGAGAAGGGGCUCGGCGGCGAUGCGUCCGCGGCGUAGGGAGGCGGCGGCAGCGGCCCGGCCCCCGGGAGCCCAGCCCGAGGUGGACGGCGGAGUCGUGCUUCGUCGCAUCCAGGAAGCCAGGGAGGACCUGCUUAUCUCUGAUUUCUGGAGUUCAGCACUAGAAACCGUCAACAGGUGUCUUAGGAAACAUCUGGAACAGCUGAAGGCCCCUGUGGGGCCUCUUUCAGAAGCCAUUGGAAGCCUGCAUCUCGACUCAUCACCAGGUGAGUCAGAUGUGGCCCCUGGCUCCGUCCCAGAAGAGACCCCAGUCACAGGAUCCUGCCGUUUGAAGUGUGUGUGUUACGGCGUUGGGAACUUCGCCACCUGCGUCAUAGCUAGAAACCAGCUCGCGUUUUUGCUUCUCUUUCUGGAAAAGUGCCAGAUACCCAGAAGUCACUGCUGGGUGUAUGACCCUCUGUUUAGCCAGCUGGAAAUUGCGGUUCUUAGCACCCUUGGUGUGGUUGUUCUCAGUGAGAACGAGGAAGGAAAACGGAGCGUGUACGGCGAGCCCACCGUCUUUUACAUGCUCCACUGUGGGACGGCGCUCUACAACAACCUUCUAUGGAGGAACUGGUCCAUAGAUGCCCUUUCCAAGAUGGUCAUCGUUGGGAACAGUUUCAGAGGACUCGAGGAAAGGUUGUUGACAAGGAUUCUGCAGAAACAUUAUCCGUAUGUUGCAAAGAUUGUGAAAGGAGUGGAGGAGCUGGCAUUCCCUCAGACCUCACAGUACACAGACGUAUUUAAUGACACCUCCGUCCACUGGUUUCCUGUACAAAAGCUAACACAACUCUCCACGGACACUUGGGCCUUUCGGGAAGAACCAGAUUACCAGGACUGUGAGGAUCUCGAGAUCAUCAGGAACAAGACGGAGGAUCCUUCAGCCCCUGACCUGAACCCGCUGUGAUGUGUCGGCAGAGGCGGUCGCCACGGAGGGACUGCAGUGAGUCCCCUUUCAGAGUGAGCAGGAAGUACGUCGGCUAUGACUUAAAAUACUGUUUGUUUAUUCACAAGUCCGUCCGUGGCAGGUGCCGCGGUCUACUUGGCCAUGUCAAUCAGGCUCUGCAGGGAGGUGGGCACCCAGGUCUUCUCCCCCUGCACGAACACCACGCCCCGAUCGAUGUAGAUGACGAUGCGGCCGAAGGUGUACAGCUGCUUUCCUUCGUGUCGCUUCCCGAUGACGGGCAUGAAGACGAUGUUGUGCUCCUCAGCCUUGGUCUCAAUGAGGUCUUUGAAGUUCAUGGGCACGGAGCUGGCAGCCACGCCGAUGCCUCUCUGGGCCAUGUUCUCAGCCUCCCGUCGCUCCUGCAUGGCCUCGUACUGGAAAUCCUUCCUGCGCUCCGUGUGGGUGAGGCUCCACACCCGUUCAGCGUGGGACACCAGCCUCCAGCACGGUGAAUGGCGCACGGUAGCUGAGCGAGUGAGCGAGCAGAUGAACAAACACCAGCUGAGAGGGGCACAGACAGCACCCGGCCCGUCUCCUGCCUCACCUCCUCGGCUUCUUCUUCAGAGUCAGCCAUGGGGAAGUCUUGCAGGGGCUGAGUGGUGCGCUCCGAGCCGUAUGCCCCCACAGCGCCCUUCCCCUUUCUCUGCUUGGCUUCGAUUGGGUUGAUGAUACCUGACAAAUUUCAGCAAGACAGAGACUUCAGGUCUCGGCAGUUGCCAUGUGUGUGAGCCACUCAGGGGGACCGCACUCCUGGGUCCUUACUCACGACGACGCACCACCCAGGAAGGAGAGUGCACUCCCGCCCUCACAACACUGUUCCGCUCCCGGUGACCGCAAGUGUCUGUGCAUUUAUGCUGCCACAGAGCAGUGUGCUGAUUUCACCCUAUGUAUGUCCUAAAUACAGAUUUCCAGUUCCACUUGGAUUCAUUUUUUUAGUGGAUGGGAAUAUUCAUUUAUAACUGGAAACUCUGGCAUAGUAGAGUCUACACUUUGUUAAUUUGGAAGCCUAUUAAUACGGAAAGGGCAGUAAUUCAGAUAAUAUAUUAAUUCUGAUUAAACUGAGGUGAAGCUGCCAUUUAAUAUGAAACUCCACCUAUUUUACUUAGUACUUCAUGUCUCCCAUGCUUAACUUGUUCUAUAACAUGUUUAAGCCUUGGAAAUAAAUGUGUCUUUCCUGUAAAAAAGUUUACAAACAGGACUACAACAUUUCAGUGAAGAACUGCCCUUACCCCAAACUUCCCACCACACCCCUUCCAGCUAGUACUGUGGAAAUGCCACAUUAGAACGUCCCUCACUCUCAUUCCAGGUCACCUUUUCCAUCUUCACUCAAGUCCAUGGAUUUUUCAUACAGCUAAUAGUUACCUUUCCUGCCCCUUUGUGAGCAGGGACCGCAGACUCAUACGCCUUGAGGGCCCAGAAACAUUAACAGGAACAAGGAAAGUGUGCUGGGGUGUGGAGAAGGCUUCCAGAAUAAGGCCGUGGCUGCUACCUGGGGCAGGAAGAUUCAGCUAAACCAAUCACUGCCAAGCAAAUCUAGAAUUCAGAUUUUAAAAUACUGGCAACCAGUUUGAUUUUUUAGAAACACUGGGCAGGCCAGAAAGAAGCCUGUUUUCAGCCUAUCAGCCUGCAGCCUAUUUGAACCCUGACCUCUCCCUCCUGCUGAAGUAAGUGUAUUUUAUGUAACUUGAGUUCUGAUAAAGUGCGGUGGCUUGGAGCACAACUGUCACGUGCUACCAGAAAAGCGAAAAAGCCGAGAAAAGGCAAAGGACGCCCCAGCUGCUCCUCCGGCCUCUGCCUGGGCGCCCUCGUGUGAGACCAUGGAGCGGGGGUACCGCACCUUGCGCAUUCUUCCCGAGGCCUCUUCCGGGGACAUAGCCCAUCUUCUGAAGAAGCUUCUGUCCAAUUCCUUUUGUGUGUCUUUCCCAGCUGCCAAAAUCCAUGAAAGACUUGGUGCCUCCUGCAAAACCUUUCUGGCUGGGUUUAAAAUUGCCACCCUGAAAAGAAGAAGAAAAAUCAAAAGAAGGAAAAACCUAAGAAAGAAAGCUUGGCUGAUGGGAAUGUGGCCUGGCAGUCACAGAGCAUUAUGAAAAGUAUCCUAUUGUACAAACGAAACAUAUCUGUGAUGCGUCUCAGGAAAGAGACAAGACUGCACUGCACAUACCACCCCUCAGGGAGGCCUGCCCCACAGGGAGACCCACAAGACCCGCCUCCAGCUGAACCCCUGCCCCACAGGGAGACCCACAGGACCCGCCUCCAGCUGAACCCCUGCCCCACAGGGAGACCCACAGGACCCGCCUCCAGCUGAACCCCUCCCCCAGCAGAUGCUUGGGCCAAAGAGAUCUUCCAGGGGUAUUACUAAGGUCACAAUCCUUCAAUAAAAAUGCUACCGUUUUUAACUUCUUUGGUCCGAAAUCCUUAGAAAAUUCAUCCUGCUUCACAGGUUUCUCCUCAUCGUCGGAGCCUUCCAGCUCCGGCUCUUCUGCCGCCCCUUUCUUGAGCCCCGCGCUGAUGAAGUUGACUGGCGCCGAGUAGUCGCGGGCCCUGCGGGCAAACACAAGGCCCCACGGGGUCCAUGAGAACUCUCUGCAGGCAUCUCUUGUAGCAGCUUUGCUGGCCAGAGAACUCCUUAGAGUGGACCUCGUGGGUUCCAUUUUAAAGACCAACCCAUUGACUCGUAUCAAAAGGGCCCCAAUAAUCACGUUUGACGUUUUUGCCUGAUGUGUUCAAGUCAACUCCGUGGCUUAAGAGUUACCAAUAACAGAGUUGACUAAAAAUUGUAAACAUGAUGUGACUGUCCACCUUCCUUUUACGUUUUUGAAAAAUUAACUUACUUUAAAAAGCAUUUGUGACACUGAGUCAAGAUGGCAGAGUAGGAGGAUGUGGAGCUCAGCUCUCCCCAUAAUACAUCAGGAAUACAUGUACAAAUGGAACAGUUCUCAGAGAACACCUGCUGAACACCAGCAGAGGACCUCGGACACCAAAAAGGACAAGAAAGAGCUCUGCGUAACCAGGGAGGACAAAGACAAAAAAAAAAGACAGGCCCUGCGCCCCUGGGAGGGAGCUGAAGGAGAGGAGAGGUCCCUGCACCCGGGGAGGUCCCGCCACCGGCGGAGAGAUCGGCUGGGACAGAAAAGGAGCUUCGGAGGCUCACAGGAGAACGCAGCAACCGGUCCGUGACAGGCAGGACAGAGUGAGAACUAGGCGGACGGUCUGUGCCACAGCCCUAUGCACCCCAGCCUGAGGCCUGUGUCCGCUGGGACGGGCAGGGGCUGGGUGCCCGAAAGUGGGGUUUAAAGAACAGACCCGGGGAGAGGACUGCUUAUGGCUGUGCAGAGACAGGCUGUAGGGGUGGGAGUGCGGAGCUCUGCAACCAGGAAUGCUGAUGGAAGCAGCCCAGGCCGCCACAGAAGUGAAGUGCCUUUUUUAAGAGGCACACCAAGCGCAGGGCCACCACCGCGGCCUCUUCCCCGACACGCAGCCCCUGCCUCCCCGGGCUCUGGGAGGGGCUCCUGGCUCAUGUGCUCCAGCAGCCUCGGGAGCAGAAGCCCGUGGGUGGCCCGCACGCAGAGGAGGGCCUGAAGCCACAGCUGAGCCCCAGGGGCCCUGAAACUACGGAACAAGAGCUGAAGUCUCUCCUUGCGGCUGCGUGAACUGGAUUUACACCUCCACUGACGGCUUUAUAAAUUCAGCUCCUGCUGAACAUCCGAGUGGACGAGCGCCCCCUCAGCUGAAAGGCCUGGCUUCAGCAGCCAAGGGCUCUGUGGGCACGUACACGCGGGGCUGGGCCAGGCCGGAGUCCGAGCUGCCCCCACAGCAGGUCCAGGUGCAGCACCGCUGCGGUCCUGGGAUUCAGUGCAUGUGCGCUGGUGGCCCGGUGAAAACAAUGCCUGAGAGUCACCGGGGCCAACUGCCAGCACACCCACAGUUAAGGUGGGACCAGUGCCAACAACCGCGUACUUUGUGAGCCCACGCAACGGGGGAAGAGUGAUACAGCAGAGCACAUACACAGGUGAAAGCUCCAAUGGAGGAAUACUCAGUGGCUUCUCUCCCAGUGGGAGGGCUCCAAUCCCACCUACCUUGCACCGCAGAUCAGAAACACAGCUCAGAAACAGAUCUGGGGGUUUCUACUCCAACAGCUAGGGAGCAGACCCUGCCCCUGACAUGGCAGUGACAACCACAGAGCAAAGAGGAGGCCUCACUUGAUAGCCAGUGUAGGCUCUGGUCACCACAACAUCAGUCACACCACCUAUCAAAGGGAUAACGGCCAGCAUACACGGAGGAAAGAGGUGGCAGACAUCCAUACUAAAGGCAGCACUUGCACUAAAAAAAUAUUAAACCCACGCAGGCUACACAGGGACAUUCCCACUUAAAAAUAGCCUUCCAGGGACUUCCCUGGUGGUCCAGUAAUAAAGAAUCCACCUCACAAUCCAGGGAUGUGGGUUUGACCCCUGGUUAGGGAACUAAGAUCCCACAUGCCGUGGGGCAACUAAGCCCGCACACCACAACUACUGAGCUCACACACCUCAACCAGGGCCCGCAUGCUGCAAACUACAGAGCCCAGCACUCUAGAGCCCGUGCACCACAACGAGAGAGACAAAACCCACAUGCCACAACUAGAAAGAAGCCCACACACCACAACAAAGAGCCCAUGCGCCACAACGAAAGAUCCCGCAUGCCUCAACGAAGAUCCCACAUGUGCCACAACUAAGACCCGACGCAGCCAAAAAUAAAUAGUAAAUGAAAUAAAUAAAUAAAUCUUGAGGAAAAAAAAAUUGCCUUCCAAGACAGUCUGAGGGUCUGGCGCCAGGAGGAGGAACCCCCAGGGCAUUUAGCUUUGAAGGCUAGUGGGGCUGGAGUGCAGGAGUUCCACAGGGCUGGGGAAACAGAGACUCUACUCUUGAAGGGCGCACACAAGGUCUCACGUGCACUGGGACCCAGCACAAAGCAGUACCUCCAUAGGAACCUGGGCUAGACCUACUUACAGGUCUUGGAGGGUCUCCUGGGGAGGCAGGGGUCAGCUAUGGCUCACUGGGGGGGCAAGGACACUGGUUGCAGAGGCCCCAGGGAACACUGGUCAGUGUGAGCUCUUCUGGAGGUCCCCAUUUUGGCACCAAGACCUGCCCCCACUCAACAACCUGCAGGCUCCAGUGCUGGAACGCCUCAGUCCAAACAACCAGCCAGAUAGGAACACAGCCUCACCUGUCAGCAGAGAGGCUGCCUGAAGUCGUACUGAGCUUAAAGCCACCUCUUGACACAGCCCUCCCCACCAGAGGGAAAACACCCAGCUCCACCCACCACAGGGCAGGCAUCACUCCCUCCCACCAGGAAGCCUGCAUAAGUCCCUGGACCAACCUCACCCACCAGGGGGCAGACACCAGAAUAAAGAGGAACUACAAUCCCGCACCCUGUGGAAAGAUGACCAGAAACACAGAAAGACAAAAUGAGAUGACAGAGAAAUAUGUUUCAGAUGAAGGAACAAGAUAAAACCCACAAGAACAACUAAAUGAAGAGAUAGGCAGUCUACCUGAAAGAGACUUCAGAGUAAUGAUAGUAAAGAUGAUCCAAAAUCUCCGGAAAACAACAGAGGCACAGACCGAGAAGACACAAGAAAUGUUUAACAAAGAGCUAGAAGAUUUAAAGAACAAACAGAUGAAGGAUACAACAACUAAAAUGAAAAAUACACUAGAAGGGGGACUUCCCUGAUGGUCCAGUGGUCAAGAAUCCGCCUUCCAAUGCAGGGUACACGGGUUUGAUCCCUGGUCAGGGAACUAAGAUCCCUCAUGCCACGGGGCAACUAAACCUGCGUGCCUCAACGAGAGAGCCCACGUGCUGCAAGCUACGGAGCCCACGCGCUCUGGAGCCCGUGCACCACAACUAGAGAGAGAAAACCCGCACACUACAACUAGAGAGAAGCCCGCGCAGAGAGAAGCCCACACGUCACAAUGAACAGCCCACGUGCAACUAAGGCCCAAUGCAGCCAAAAUAAAUAAAUAAAUAAAUAAAUAUAAAAAAGAUACACUAGAAGGGAUCAAUAGCAGAAUAACUGAGGCAGAAGAACAAAUAAGUGAGCUGGAAGACAGAGUGGUGGAAAUCACUGCCACAGAACAGAGUAAAGAAAAAGAAUGAAAGGAAAUGAGGACAGUCUCAGAGACCUCUGGGAUAACAUUAAACACAACACUUGCAUUAUAGGGGUCCCAGAAGGAGACGAGAGAGAGAAAGGGCCUGAGAAAAUAUGUGAAGAGAUUAUAGCCAAAAACUUCCCUAACAUAAGAAAGGAAACAGUCAACUCCAGGAAGUGUAGAGAGUCCCAUACAGGAUAAAUCCAAGGAGGAACCCACUGAGACACCUAUCAAUCAAACUGACAAAAACUAAAUACAAAGAAAAAAUAUGAAAAGCAACAAGGGAAAAGCAACAAAUAACAAGGGAAUCCCCAUAAGGUUAUCAGCUGACUUUUCAGCAGAAACUCUGCAGGCCAGAAGGGAGUGGCACGAUAUAUUUAAAGUGACAAAAGGGAAAAAAAUCUACAACCAAGAAUACUCUACCCAGGACUUCCCUGGUAGUGCAGUGGGUAAGACUCCACGCUCCCAAUGCAGGGGGCCUGGGUUUGAUCCCUGGUCAGGGAACUAGAUCCCACAUGCAGGCAGAACUAAGACUUCGCAUGCCACAACUAAGGAGCCGGCAAGCCUCAACUAGGGAGCCCUCAAGCUGCAACUAAAGAGCCUGCCUGCCACAACUAAGACCCAGCGCCACCAAAUAAACAAAUUAAUUAAUUAAUUUAAAAAAAAAAAAGAAUACUUUACCCAGCAAGGCUCCCAUUCAGAUUUGAUGGAGAAAUCAAAAGUUUUACAGAUAAGCAAAAACUAAGAGAAUUCAGUACCACCAAACCAGCUUUACAACAAAUGCUAAAGGAACUUCUCGAGGCAGAAAAGGUCACAAACAGAAACAAGAAAAUUAUGAAUGAGAAAGCUCACUGGUAAAGGAAAACAUACAAUAAAGGAAAGCAAUCAUCCACACACAAAUAUGAUAUCAAAACCAGCAACCAUGAGAAGAGGAUAGUACAAAUGCAGGAAAUGGGAAAUGCAUCUGAAAUUGAGACCAGAAGCUUAAAAUAACCUUGUGUGUGUGUGUAGGCUGCCACAUCAAAACCUCAUGGGAACUGCAAACCAAAAAACUACAAUAGAUACACACACAAAAAAGGAAAAGCAAUCCAAACACAACACUAAAAAUAGUCAUCAAAGCACAGGAGAAGAAAACAAAAGAAGGAAAGAAAAAAGACCUACAAAAACAAACCUAAAAAAAUUAAGAAAAUGGCAGUAAGAACAUACAUAUUGAUAAUUACCUUAACUGUAAAUGGAUUAAAUACUCCAACCAAAAGAUAAACACUGGCUGAAUGGAUACAAAAACAAGACCCAUAAAUAUGCUGUCUACAUGAGACCCACUUCAAAUCUAAGGACACAUAGAGACUGAAAGUGAGGGGAUGGAAAAAGGUAUUCCAUGCAAAUGGAAAUCAAAAGAAAGCUGGGGUAGCAAUACUCAUGUAAGACAAAAGAGACUUUAAACACUGUUACAAGAGACAAGGAAGGACACUACAUAACGAUCAAGGGAUCAAUCCAAGAAGAAGAUAUAACAAUUAUAAAUAUUUAUGCACCCAACAUAGGAGCACCUCAAUAGAUAAGGCAAAUGCUAACAGCCAUAAAAGGAGAAAUCGACUUUACAGCCCACUUUUAUCAAUGGACAGAUCUUCCAGACAGAAAAUCAAUACGGAAACACAGGCCUUAAAUGACAUAUUAAACAAGAUGGACUUAAUUGAUAUUUAUAGAGCAUCCCAUCCAAAAGGAGCAGAAUACACAUUCUUAAGUAUACAUGGAACAUUCUCCAGGAUUGAUCACAUGCUGGGCCACAAAGCGAGCCUCAGUAAAUUUAAGAAAACUGAAAUCAUAUUAAGCAACUUUUCUGACCACAACGCUAUGAGAUUAGAAAUCAACUACAAGAAACAAACUGUAAAAAACACAAACACAUAGAGAGGCUGAACAAUAUGCUACUCAACAACCAACGGAUCACUGAAGAAAUGAGAGAGGAAAUCACACAAUACCUAGAGACAAAUGACAACAAAAACACGACAAUCCAAAACCUAUGGGACACAGCAAAAGCAGUCCUAAGAGGAAAGUUUAUAGCAAUACAAUCUUACCUCAGGAAACAACAAAAAUCUCAAAUAAACAACCUAACCUUACACCUAAAGCAACUAGAGAAAGAAGAACAAACAAAACCCAAAGUUAGCCGAAGGAAAGAAAUCAUAAAGAUCAGAGCAGAACUAAAUUAAAUAGAGACAAAGAAAACAACAGAAAAGAUCCAUGAAACUAAAAGCUGGUUCUUUGAAAAGAUAAAUAAAACUGAAAAACCUUUAGCCAGACUAUCAAGAAAAAAAGGGAGAGGGCUCAAAUCAAUAAAAUUAGAAAUGAAAAAGAAGAAGUUACAAUGGACACCACAUAAAUACAAAGGAUAAGAGACUACUACAAGCAACUAUGUCAAUAAAAUGGAUGACCUAGAAGAAAUGGACAAAUUCUUAAAAAGGUACAAUCUCCCAACACUGAACCAGGAAGAAAUAGAAAAUAUGAACAGACCAAUCACAAGUACUGAAAUUGAAACUGAAUAAAAAAUUCCCAACAAACAAAAGCCAUCCAGGACCAGAUGGCUUCACAGGCAAACUCUAUCAAACAUUUAGAGAAGAGUUAACAUCUAUCCUUCUGAAACUAUUCCACAAACUUGCAGAGGAAGUAACAUUCCCAAACUCACUCUAUGAGGCCACCAUCACUCUGAUAUCAAAACCAGACAAAGAUAUCACCCAAAAAAAAAAAAAAAAAAAGAAAAAGAAAAUUACAGACUAGUUUCACUGAUGAACAUAGACGCAAAAUCCUCAACAAAAUACUAGGAAAUCAAAUCGAACAAUACAUUAAAAGGGUCAAACACUAUGAUCAAGGGGGAUUCAUCCCAGGGAUGCAAGGAUUCUUUAAUAUCCGCAAAUCAAUCAGUGUGAAACACAUCAACAAGUUGAAUAAUAAAAACCAUAUGACCAUCUCAAUAGAUGCAGAAAAAGAUUUUGACAAAAUUCAACACCCAUUUAUGAUAAAAAAAAAAAAAGAACUCUCCAGAAAGUGGGCAUAGAGGGAACAUACCUCAACAUAAUAAAGGCCAUAUAUGACAAACCUACAGCUAACAUCAUACUCAACGGUGAAAAGCUGAAAGCAUUUCCUCUAAGAUCAGGAACAAGAACAAGGAUGUCCACUCUUGCCACUUUCAUUCAACAUAGUUUUGGAAGUCCUAGCCAUGGCAAUCAGAGAAGAAAAAGAAAUAAAAGGAAUACAAAUUGGAAAAGAAGUAAAGCUGUCACUGUUUGCAGAUGACAUGAUACCAUACAUAGAAAAUCCUAAAGAUGCUACCAAAAACUACUAGAGCUCAUCAAUGAAUCUGGUAAAGUUACAGGAUACAAAAAUUAAUACACAGAAAUCUGUUGCAUUCCUAUACAAUAACAGAAGAUCAGAAAGAAAAAGAAACAACCCCGUUUACCAUCAUCAAAAAGAAUAAAAUACCUAGGAAUAAACCUACCAAAAGACCUGUACUCCGAAAACUUUAAGAUGCUGAUGAAAGAAAUUGAAGAUGACACAAACAGAUGGAAAGAUAUACCAUGAUCCUGCAUUAGAAGAAUCAGUAUUGUCAAAAUGAAUAUUCUGCCCAAGGCAAUCUACAGAUUCAAUGCAAUCCCUAUCAAAUUACCAAUGGCAUUUUUCAAAGAACUAGAACAAAACAUUUUAAAAUUUGUAUGGAGACACAAAAGACCCCAAAUAGCCAAAGCAAUCUUGAGAAAGAAAAAUGGAGCUGGAGGAAUCAGGCUCCCUGACUUCAGACUAUACUACAAAGCUACAGCCAUCAAGAGUAUGGUACUGGAGCAACAGUCAGCUCUACCCACCACCAGAGCCUCCCAUCAAGCCUCUUAGAUAGCCUCAACCACCAGAGGGCAGACAGCAGAAGCAAGAAAAACUACAAUCCUGCAGCCUGUGAACCAAAAACCACAGUUACAGAAAGAUAGACAAGAUGAAAAGGCAGAGGGCUAUGUGCCAGAUGAAGGAACAAGAAAAAACCCCAGAAAAACAACUAAAUGAAGUGGAGAUAGGCAACCUUCCAGAAAAAGAAUUCAGAAUAAUGAUAGUGAAGAUGAUCCAGGACCUUGGAAUAAGAAUGGAGGCAAAGAUUGAGAAGAUGCAAGAAAUGAUUAUCAAAGACCUAGAAGAAUUAAAGAACAAACAAACAGAGAUGACCAAUACAAUAACUGAAAUGAAAACUACACUAGAAGGAAUCAAUAGCAGAAUAACUGAGGCAGAAGAACGGAUAAGUGACCUGGAAGACAGAAUGGUGGAAUUCACUGCUGCGGAACAGACUAAAGAAAAAAGAAUGAAAAGAAAUGAAGACAGCCUAAGAGACCUCUGGGACAACAUUAAACGCAACAACAUUCGCAUUAUAGGGGUCCCAGAAGGAGAAGAGAGAGAGAAAGGACCAGAGAAAAUAUUUGAAGAGAUUAUAGUCGAAAACUUCCCUAACAUGGGAAAGGAAAUAGCCACCCAAGUCCAGGAAGCGCAGAGAGUCCCAAGCAGGAUAAACCCAAGGAGAAACACGCCAAGACACACAGUAAUCAAAGUGGCAAAAAUUAAAGACAAAGAAAAAUUAUUGAAAGCAGCAAGGGAAAAACGACAAAUAACAUACAAGGGAACUCCC